GACGAACGCUGGCGGCGUGCCUAAUACAUGCAAGUAGAACGCAGUUGCGAACGGGUGAGUAACAUGUCGGUAACCUCCCCAUUGGGGGGGAUUAAUUUUUGAAACGAUUGCUAAUACCCCAUUCUGUUGGACGGACCUGCGUUGUAUUAGCUAGUUGGUGGGGUAAAGGGCCACCAAGGACACGAUCCAUAGGCGACCUGAGAGGGAGGUCGGCCACAAUGGGACUGAGACAAGGCCCAGACUCCUACGGGAGGCAGCAGUAGGGGAUCUUCGGACAUGGACGGAAGUCUGAACGAGCAACGCCGCGUGAGUGAAGAAGGUUUUCGGAUCGUAAAGCUAUGUUGUUAGAGAAGCGGUACCUAACCAGAAAGGGACGGCUAACUACGUGCCAGCAGCCGCGGUAAUAC
rnacentral:rRNA from 1 species